GAAACGACUGCUAAGACUGGAUAGGAAAAGUGAAGGCAUCUUUACUUUUUUAAAAGACCUUCUUUGAAGGUAUGCUUAAGGAGGGGCUUGCGACACAUUAGUUAGUUGGCAGGGUAGAGGCCUACCAAGACUAUGAUGUGUAGCUGGACUGAGAGGUUGAACAGCCACAUUGGGACUGAGACACGGCCCAAACUCCUACGGGAGGCAGCAGUAGGGAAUUUUCGGCAAUGGAGGAAACUCUGACCGAGCAACGCCGCGUGAACGAUGAAGUACCUCGGUAUGUAAAGUUCUUUUAUUAAGGAAGAAAAAAGAGUGGAAAAACUCCCUUGACGGUACUUAAUGAAUAAGCCCCGGCUAAUUAUGUGCCAGCAGCCGCGGUAAUACAUAAGGGGCGAGCGUUAUCCGGAAUUAUUGGGCGUAAAGGGUGCGUAGGCGGUUUAAUAAGUCUAUAGUUUAAUUUCAGCGCUUAACGCUGUUGUGCUAUAGAAACUGUUUUACUAGAGUGAGAUAGAGGCAAGCGGAAUUCCAUGUGUAGCGGUAAAAUGCGUAAAUAUAUGGAGGAACAUCAGAGGCGUAGGCGGCUUGCUGGGUCUUUACUGACGCUGAGGCACGAAAGCGUGGGGAGCAAACAGGAUUAGAUACCCUGGUAGUCCACGCCGUAAACGAUGAGUACUAAGUGUCGGGUAAAACCGGUACUGAAGUUAACACAUUAAGUACUCCGCCUGAGGAGUACGUACGCAAGUAUGAAACUUAAAGGAAUUGACGGGACUCCGCACAAGCGGUGGAUCAUGUUGUUUAAUUCGAAGAUACACGAAAAACCUUACCAGGUCUUGACAUUUUCUUGCGAAGUUAUAGAAAUAUAAUGGAGGUUAUCAGGAAAACAGGCGGUGCAUGGUUGUCGUCAGCUCGUGUCGUGAGAUGUUAGGUUAAGUCCUAAAACGAGCGCAACCCUUGUCGUUAAUUGCCAGCAUGUAAUGAUGGGGACUUUAACGAGACUGCCAAUGAAAAAUUGGAGGAAGGUGGGGAUUACGUCAAAUCAUCAUGCCCCUUAUGAUCUGGGCUACAAACGUGAUACAAUGGUUGAUACAAAGAGUAGCUGAAACGCGAGUUCUUAGCCAAUCUCACAAAAUCAAUCUCAGUUCGGAUUGAAGUCUGCAACUCGACUUCAUGAAGUUGGAAUCGCUAGUAAUCGUGAAUCAGCAUGUCGCGGUGAAUACGUUCGCGGGGUUUGUACACACCGCCCGUCA
rnacentral:rRNA from 1 species